rnacentral:rRNA from 1 species
UACGGAGGGUGCAAGCGUUGUCCGGAUUUAUUGGGUUUAAAGGGUGCGUAGGCGGCCAACUAAGUCGGAUGUGAAAUCCCCAGGCUUAACCUGGGAACUGCAUCCGAUACUGGAUGGCUUGAAUCCGGGAGAGGGAUGCAGAAUUCCAGGUGUAGCGGUGAAAUGCGUAGAUAUCUGGAGGAAUACCGGUGGCGAAGGCGGCAUCCUGGACCGGCAUUGACGCUGAUGAGCGAAAGCUAGGGGAGCAAACGGGG